rnacentral:rRNA from 1 species
ACGAACGCUGGCGGCGUGCCUAACACAUGCAAGUCGAGCGGAGAUGAUGUGAGGAAGUUUUCGGAUGGAAUCACAUUAUUUAGCGGCGGACGGGUGAGUAACGCGUGAGCGACCAACCUUGCACAGGGGGAUAACGGACCGAAAGGUUCACUAAUACCGCAUGAGACCACGGUGUUGCAUGACACAGAGGUCAAAGGAGAGAUCCGGUGCAGGACGGGCUCGCGUCCGAUUAGGUAGUUGGUGGGGUAAUGGCCCCACCAAGCCUAUGAUCGGUAGCCGACCUGAGAGGGUGAUCGGCCACAUUGGAACUGAGAUACGGUCCAAACUCCUACGGGAGGCAGCAGUGGGGAAUAUUGGGCAAUGGGGGAAACCCUGACCCAGCAACGCCGCGUGAAGGAAGAAGGUUUUCGGAUUGUAAACUUCUGUCCUUGGUGAAGAGAAGAAGACGGUAGCCAAGGAGGAAGCCCCGGCUAACUACGUGCCAGCAGCAGC